AUUAAAUUAAUUUAGCUUCUAUUUCAUUUUGCAUGUGUGAAGUAACAGCACAAUAUUUCAAUAUGCGACAUAUGCGCUAGUCCAACUUAACAGUCUGGAAAAUAAUGUGUCUGUUUGU